AACGAACGCUGGCGGCGUGCUUAACACAUGCAAGUCGAACGGGUUUAAUGGAUGUAGCAAUACAUUCAUUAAAUUAGUGGCGCACGGGUGAGUAACACGUAGGUAACCUACCCUUCAGUGGGGGACAACAGAGGGAAACUUCUGCUAAUACCGCAUACGAUCACGGACUGGGAUGUUCGUGGUGAAAGGAUUUAUUCGCUGAGGGAUGGGCCUGCGGCCUAUCAGGUAGUUGGUGAGGUAAUGGCUCACCAAGCCUGCGACGGGUAGCCGGACUGAGAGGUCGAUCGGCCACACUGGAACUGAGACACGGUCCAGACUCCUACGGGAGGCAGCAGUGGGGAAUAUUGCACAAUGGGGGAAACCCUGAUGCAGCGACGCCGCGUGGAGGAUGACGGCCUUCGGGUUGUAAACCGCUUUCAGCAGGGACGAAGCUAACGUGACGGUACCUGCAGAAGAAGCACCGGCUAACUCCGUG
rnacentral:rRNA from 1 species